AGUGAACGCUGGCGGUAGGCCUAACACAUGCAAGUCGAACGGCAGCACAGUAAGAGCUUGCUCUUACGGGUGGCGAGUGGCGGACGGGUGAGGAAUACAUCGGAAUCUACUUUUUCGUGGGGGAUAACGUAGGGAAACUUACGCUAAUACCGCAUACGACCUACGGGUGAAAGCAGGGGAUCUUCGGACCUUGCGCGAUUGAAUUAGCCGAUGUCGGAUUAGCUAGUUGGCGGGGUAAAGGCCCACCAAGGCGACGAUCCGUAGCUGGUCUGAGAGGAUGAUCAGCCACACUGGAACUGAGACACGGUCCAGACUCCUACGGGAGGCAGCAGUGGGGAAUAUUGGACAAUGGGCGCAAGCCUGAUCCAGCCAUACCGCGUGGGUGAAGAAGGCCUUCGGGUUGUAAAGCCCUUUUGUUGGGAAGGAAAAGCAGCAGGUUAAUACCCCGCUGUUCUGACGGUACCCAAAGAAUAAGCACCGGCUAACUUCGUG
rnacentral:rRNA from 1 species